ACAAAUUCCAUUUUCUUUUUCUUUUUUUUUUUUUUAUCACGCGACGAAAGCUUCACAUUUAUUGCACAUGGCAAUUAAAACUCAAUGAAACCACGUCAUACAUGGGCCUGCACCAUAUGCAAAUAUUUGUCAGCCUUCAUCCUCCAUUUCAUCGAAAGAGAACAAGUGCAAAGGGUUUCCUGUAUGAGGCCAUCCAUUCCCUGGACUUGCACAAAUCCCCUUAAAACCUCUGGAGCCAGUCUGGGUGUAUCAGGCCCCUGGAUCUGCUGUGUGCAGGGGUGGGUGGUGGCCUGUGGUCCGGAGCCG